UGAGGAAUAUUGGUCAAUGGACGAGAGUCUGAACCAGCCAAGUAGCGUGAAGGAUGACUGCCCUAUGGGUUGUAAACUUCUUUUAUACGGGAAUAAAGUGAGGUACGUGUGCCUUUUUGUAUGUACCGUAUGAAUAAGGAUCGGCUAACUCCGUGCCAGCAGCCGCGGUAAUACGGAGGAUCCGAGCGUUAUCCGGAUUUAUUGGGUUUAAAGGGAGCGUAGGCGGACGCUUAAGUCAGUUGUGAAAGUUUGCGGCUCAACCGUAAAAUUGCAGUUGAUACUGGGUGUCUUGAGUACAGUAGAGGCAGGCGGAAUUCGUGGUGUAGCGGUGAAAUGCUUAGAUAUCACGAAGAACUCCGAUUGCGAAGGCAGCCUGCUGGACUGUAACUGACGCUGAUGCUCGAAAGUGUGGGUAUCAAACAGGAUUAGAUACCCUGGUAGUCCACACAGUAAACGAUGAAUACUCGCUGUUUGCGAUAUACAGUAAGCGGCCAAGCGAAAGCGUUAAGUAUUCCACCUGGGGAGUACGCCGGCAACGGUGAAACUCAAAGGAAUUGACGGGGGCCCGCACAAGCGGAGGAACAUGUGGUUUAAUUCGAUGAUACGCGAGGAACCUUACCCGGGCUUGAAUUGCAACUGAAUGAUGUGGAGACAUGUCAGCCGCAAGGCAGUUGUGAAGGUGCUGCAUGGUUGUCGUCAGCUCGUGCCGUGAGGUGUCGGCUUAAGUGCCAUAACGAGCGCAACCCUUAUCGAUAGUUACCAUCAGGUUAUGCUGGGGACUCUGUCGAGACUGCCGUCGUAAGAUGUGAGGAAGGUGGGGAUGACGUCAAAUCAGCACGGCCCUUACGUCCGGGGCUACACACGUGUUACAAUGGAGGGUACAGAAGGCAGCUACACGGCGACGUGAUGCUAAUCCCGAAAGCCUCUCUCAGUUCGGAUUGGAGUCUGCAACCCGACUCCAUGAAGCUGGAUUCGCUAGUAAUCGCGCAUCAGCCACGGCGCGGUGAAUACGUUCCC
rnacentral:rRNA from 1 species